AUGGCCUGGGCUCUGCUCCUCCUCAGCCUCCUCUCUCAGGGCACAGGGUCCUGGGCCCAGGCGGCCCUCACUCAGCCUCCAUCCGUGUCCGGGAACCCGGGACAGUCAGUCACCAUCUCUUGUGCUGGGAGCAUCAGUGAUGUCGGUUAUUCUAAUUACGUCUCCUGGUACCAACAGCGCCCGGGCAUGGUCCCCAAACUCCUGAUUUAUUCUGACAGCUCUCGGCCCUCAGGGAUCCCUGAGCGCUUCUCUGGCUCCAAGUCUGGCAACACGGCCACCCUGACCAUCUCUGGGCUGCAGACUGAGGACGAGGCUGACUAUUACUGCUGCUCAUAUAGGUUUGGUAGCACUCUCCACAGUGGUGCAGGCUCAUGGGGAAGUGAGACCAAAACCCGCCUUGGGCUCCCAGGCACCCUCCUUGCUCUGAAGAGCUCCCCUCCCUGA